rnacentral:rRNA from 1 species
CCUACGGGAGGCAGCAGUGAGGAAUAUUGGUCAAUGGACGAGAGUCUGAACCAGCCAAGUAGCGUGAAGGAUGACUGUCCUCUGGGUUGUAAACCUCUUUUACCAAGGACUAAAACGAGGCACGUGUGCCUUUUAGCAUGUACUUUAUGAAUACGGAUCGGCUAACUCCGUGCCAGCAGCCGCGGUUAUACGGAGGGUACGAGCGUUAUCCGGAUUUUUUGGGUUUAAAGGGAGCGUAGGUGGGUUAUUAAGUCAGUUGUGAAAGUUUGCGGCUUAACCGUAAAAUUGCAAUUGAUACUGGCAGUCUUGAGUACAGUUGAGGUAGGCGGAAUUCGUGGUGUAGCGGUGAAAUGCUUAGAUAUCACGAAGAACCCCGGUUGCGAAGGCAGCUUGCUAAACUGUGACUGACAUUGAGGCUCGAAAGUGUGGGUAGCAAACAGGAUUAGAUACCCUUGUAGUC